rnacentral:rRNA from 1 species
GAGUUUGAUCCUGGCUCAGGAUGAACGCUGGCGGCGUGCUUAAUACAUGCAAGUCGAGCGAAGCGCUUUAGCGGAAUUCUUCGGAAGGAAGAUAAAGUGACUGAGCGGCGGACGGGUGAGUAACGCGUGGGUAACCUGCCUCAUACAGGGGGAUAACAGUUAGAAAUGGCUGCUAAUACCGCAUAAGCGCACAGGACCGCAUGGUCUGGUGUGAAAAACUCCGGUGGUAUGGGAUGGACCCGCGUUGGAUUAGCCAGUUGGUGGGGUAACGGCCUACCAAGGCGACGAUCCAUAGCCGGCCUGAGAGGGUGAACGGCCACAUUGGGACUGAGACACGGCCCAGACUCCUACGGGAGGCAGCAGUGGGGUAUAUUGCACAAUGGGGGAAACCCUGAUGCAGCGACGCCGCGUGAAGGAAGAAGUAUCUCGGUAUGUAAACUUCUAUCAGCAGGGAAGAAAAUGACGGUACCUGACUAAGAAGCCCCGGCUAACUACGUGCCAGCAGCCGCGGUAAUACGUAGGGGGCAAGCGUUAUCCGGAUUUACUGGGUGUAAAGGGAGCGUAGACGGAAGAGCAAGUCUGAUGUGAAAGGCUGGGGCUUAACCCCAGGACUGCAUUGGAAACUGUUUUUCUAGAGUGCCGGAGAGGUAAGCGGAAUUCCUAGUGUAGCGGUGAAAUGCGUAGAUAUUAGGAGGAACACCAGUGGCGAAGGCGGCUUACUGGACGGUAACUGACGUUGAGGCUCGAAAGCGUGGGGAGCAAACAAAAUUAGAUACCCUGGUAGUCCACGCCGUAAACGAUCAAUACUAGGUGUCGGGGUGCAAAGCAGUUCGGUGCCGCA